rnacentral:SRP_RNA from 1 species
GGUCGGACUCCGCGCGACGACGCUCUGUGAACCGCGUCAGAUCCGGAAGGAAGCAGCGCUAAACGGAUCGCGGCGGGCGCAGCGGAUGGCUCGGCCGGC